GACAGAGGCCUCGAGCGUUAGGCGGAAUCACUGGGCUUAAAGUGUGUGUAGGCGGGCCCGUAAGUGUCUUGUGAAAUCCCACGGCUCAACCGUGGAACUGCUGGGCAUACUGCGGGUCUUGGGCCAACUAGGGGCAGCCGGAACAAGCGGUGGAGCGGUGAAAUGCGUAGAUAUCGCUUGGAACGCCGAAGGUGAAAACAGGCUGCUGGGGUUGCGCCGACGCUGAGACACGAAAGCCAGGGGAGCAAACGGG
rnacentral:rRNA from 1 species